UGCCAGCCGCCGCGGUAAUACGAAGGUGGCGAGCGUUGUUCGGAUUCACUGGGCAUAAAGGGCGAGUAGGCGGUCGGCCAAGUGGAAUGUGAAAGCCCGGGGCUCAACCCCGGAACUGCAUUCCAAACUUGCGGACUAGAGGACAGGAGGGGGAAGUGGAACUCCAGGUGGAGCGGUGAAAUGCGUAGAUAUCUGGAGGAACACCGGUGGCGAAAGCGACUUCCUGGCCUGUCCCUGACGCUGAGGCGCGAAAGCGUGGGUAGCAAACAGGAUUAGAUA
rnacentral:rRNA from 1 species